rnacentral:rRNA from 1 species
AUUGAACGCUGGCGGCAGGCCUAACACAUGCAAGUCGAACGAGUGGCGGACGGGUGAGUAAUGUCUGGGAAACUGCCCGAUGGAGGGGGAUAACUACUGGAAACGGUAGCUAAUACCGCAUACCAUGGGAUGUGCCCAGAUGGGAUUAGCUAGUAGGUGGGAUAACGGCUCACCUAGGCCACGAUCCCUAGCUGGUCUGAGAGGAUGAACAGCCACACUGGCACGGAGACACGGUCCAGAAUCCUACGGGAGGUAGCAGUGGGGAAUAUUGCACAAUGGGCGCAAGCCUGAUGCAGCCAUGCCGCGUGUAUGAAGAAGGCCGUAGGGUUGUAAAGUACUUUCAGCUAGGAGGCGUUACUCGCAGAAGAAGCACCGGCUAACUCCGUGCCAGCAGCCGCGGUAAUAC